rnacentral:rRNA from 1 species
UACAGGGGGUGCAAGCGUUGCUCGGAAUCAUUGGGCGUAAAGCGCACGUAGGCGGAUUCUUAAGUCAGGGGUGAAAUCCUGGAGCUCAACUCCAGAACUGCCUUUGAUACUGGGAGUCUCGAGUCCGGGAGAGGUGAGUGGAACUGCGAGUGUAGAGGUGAAAUUCGUAGAUAUUCGCAAGAACACCAGUGGCGAAGGCGGCUCACUGGCCCGGUACUGACGCUGAGGAGCGAAAGCGUGGGGAGCGAACAGG